rnacentral:rRNA from 1 species
ACGCUGGCGGUGCGCCUUAUGCAUGCAAGUCGAGCGAAGCUUUUCAGUAGUUUACUACAGAAAAUGACUGAGCGGCGAACGGGUGAGUAACGCGUGAGCAAUCUACCUUAGUUACUGGGAUAGCCCGAGGAAACUCGGAUUAAUACCGGAUAAUCUUAUUACAUCACAUGAUAUUUUAAGUAAAGGUCAGCCGAACUAAGAUGAGCUCGCGUUCUAUCAGCUUGUUGGUGGGGUAAAAGCCUACCAAGGCUACGACGGAUAGCUGGUCUGAGAGGACGAUCAGCCACACUGGGACUGAGACACGGCCCAGACUCCUACGGGAGGCUGCAGCAGGGAAUAUUGCGCAAUGAGCGAAAGCUUGACGCAGCGACACCGCGUGUGGGAUGACGGUUCUAGGAUUGUAAACCACUUUCAGGAGGGAAGAAAAUGACGGUACCUCCACAAGAAGCCCCGGCCAACUACGUGCCAGCAGCCGCGGUAAUACGUAGGGGGCGAGCGUUGUCCGGAUUUAUUGGGCGUAAAGAGCUCGUAGGCGGUUCAACAAGUCGGUCGUGAAAGUUCAGGGCUUAACCCUGAAAUGUCGAUCGAUACUGUUGUGACUAGGAUAUGGUAGAGGUGAGUGGAAUUCCGAGUGUAGCGGUGAAAUGCGUAGAUAUUCGGAGGAACACCAAUAGCGAAGGCAGCUCACUGGACCACUAUCGACGCUGAGGAGCGAAAGCUAGGGGAGCAAACAGGAUUAGAUACCCUGGUAGUCCUAGCUGUAAACGAUGGAUACUAGAUGUAGGAAUUGGAUUGACGAUUUCUGUAUCGUAGCUAACGCGUUAAGUAUCCCGCCUGGGGAGUACGGUC